rnacentral:rRNA from 1 species
AAUUCGCCCUUAGAGUUUGAUCCUGGCUCAGGAUGAACGCUGGCGGCGUGCCUAAUACAUGCAAGUCGAGCGAGGCCCUUCGGGGCCUAGCGGCGGACGGGUGAGUAACACGUGGGUAACCUGCCUGUAAGACCGGGAUAACUUCGGGAACCGAAGCUAAUACCGGAUACUUUCGAGCAUCGCAUGAUGCUUGAUGGAAAGACGGCUUCGGCUGUCACUUACAGAUGGACCCGCGUCGCAUUAGCUAGUUGGUGAGGUAACGGCUCACCAAGGCGACGAUGCGUAGCCGACCUGAGAGGGUGAUCGGCCACACUGGGACUGAGACACGGCCCAGACUCCUACGGGAGGCAGCAGUAGGGAAUCUUCGGCAAUGGGCGAAAGCCUGACCGAGCAACGCCGCGUGAGCGAUGAAGGCCUUCGGGUCGUAAAGCUCUGUUGUUAAGGAAGAACAAGUACGAGAGUAACUGCUCGUACCUUGACGGUACUUAACGAGAAAGCCACGGCUAACUACGUGCCAGCAGCCGCGGUAAUACGUAGGUGGCGAGCGUUAUCCGGAAUUAUUGGGCGUAAAGCGCGCGCAGGCGGUUUCUUAAGUCUGAUGUGAAAGCCCACGGCUCAACCGUGGAGGGUCAUUGGAAACUGGGAAACUUGAGUGCAGAGAAGAAAGCGGAAUUCCA